AUGGGAUGCCAGGCGAGCCGCCGGAUCCUCCUCCUCCUCGCCACCAUAGUCGUCGCCACCUCACAGCCACCACCCACCGCGGCGCAGACGGCCAGCUGCGCCGACCACACGUUCUCCGGCGGCCGCCUCUACGCGGCAUGCAGCCCACUGGAGGAGCUGGACGCCAGCGUCCACUGGACGUACCACGCGUCCAACGGCACGGCGGACGUCGCGUUCCGCGUGCCGGGGGGCUCGGCCGGGUGGGCGGCGUGGGCCAUCAACCCGUCCGCGGUCGGCAUGCUCGGCGCCAACACGGUGUUCGCCUACCACGACCCGGCGACCGGCGUGGUGGCGGUCGCCACGGCGGUCGUCGACAGCUACACCCCGGCGUUCGCGGACGGGGACCUCGCGUUCGCCGUGCACAGGCGCGGCGCCGAGUACACCGACGGCGUGUACGCCAUCCACGCCACGGUCGCGCUGCCGGGGAACAGCACCAGGCAGAACAUCGUCUGGCAGGCCGGCACGUCGUCCCCGGACGGCCUGCCGGAGAGCCACCAGGUGUUCGGAGACAACGUCAUGUCGUCCCGGAGCUGGGACUUCAGGUCGGCCGAGGCGGCGGUCGUUGUCGACGACGUCCCUGCCGCGCCAAGGUACAGCGUCUACCGCGCACUGCUACGCCCCAAGAAUGUACGCACGUACGACAGUUUGGAUCACCAUAUUCUUGAUUUUUUCACUUGGGAAAACUUAGCUGGUUUGUGCGUGCAGAUCCAUGGCGUGCUGAAUGCCGUGAGCUGGGGCGUGCUGCUCCCUCUCGGCGUCAUGCUGGCGAGGUACAUGAGGGUGUUCCCAUCGCUUGAUCCGGCAUGGUUCUACCUCCACGUCGCCUGCCAGUGCAGCGGCUACGUGAUCGGGGCGGCCGGUUGGGUCUUCGGCCUCACGCUCGGCAGCCCGGCAAAAGGCGCCCUGCAGCACCAUGGCCACCGCAACAUCGGAACCGCGCUUUUCGUCCUAUCAUCACUUCAGGUUUCUGCCUUGCUGAUCCGCCCUAAGAAGACCGUCAAAGUUCGCUUCUAUUGGAACCUGUACCACUGGUCCGUCGGCUACACGGUGGUCGUUCUGGGCGUCGUCAAUGUCUUCAAGGGCAUCGGCAUCCUACAACCUGAUCAGAAGUACAAGCACGCCUACCUUGGCGCCGUUCUCGUGCUCGCUGUGGUGGCCUUCGUCUUGGAGCUUGUGACGCUGACGGUCAGGUUCAAGAAGGGCCGGCGGUAA
rnacentral:rRNA from 1 species